rnacentral:rRNA from 1 species
UCACCAGGGUACUACAAGCAUAGCUUAAAACCCAAAGGACUUGGCGGUGCCUCAGACCCACCUAGAGGAGCCUGUUCUAUAACCGAUAACCCCCGUUAAACCUCACCACUUCUUGUUUAAACCGCCUAUAUACCGCCGUCGUCAGCUUACCCCACAAGGGCAUAGUAGUAAGCAAAAUAGUUAUAUCCUAAAACGUCAGGUCGAGGUGUAGUGAAUGAAGUGGAAAGAAAUGGGCUACAUUUUCUACUCCAGAACAUUACGAAUGGUAACCUGAAAUACUUUACUUAAAGGUGGAUUUAGUAGUAAAAAGCAAA